rnacentral:rRNA from 1 species
GUUAUAUGGUCAAGUGAAGAAGCGCAUACGGUGGAUGCCUUGGCAGUCAGAGGCGAUGAAAGACGUGGUAGCCUGCGAAAAGCUUCGGGGAGUCGGCAAACAGACUGUGAUCCGGAGAUGUCUGAAUGGGGGAACCCAGCCAUCAUAAGAUGGUUAUCUUGUACUGAAUACAUAGGUGCAAGAGGCGAACCAGGGGAACUGAAACAUCUAAGUACCCUGAGGAAAAGAAAUCAACCGAGAUUCCCUUAGUAGUGGCGAGCGAACGGGGACCAGCCCUUAAGUUGUAUUGAGAUUAGCGGAACGUUCUGGAAAGGACGGCCAUAGUGGGUGAUAGCCCUGUACGCGAAAAUCCCUUUGCAAUGAAAUCGAGUAGGACGGGGCACGAGAAACCUUGUCUGAAUAUGGGGGGACCAUCCUCCAAGGCUAAAUACUACUGACUGACCGAUAGUGAACCAGUACCGUGAGGGAAAGGCGAAAAGAACCGCGGAGAGCGGAGUGAAAUAGAUCCUGAAACCGUAUGCGUACAAGCAGUGGGAGCCCACUUUGUUGGGUGACUGCGUACCUUUUGUAUAAUGGGUCAGCGACUUAUUUUCAGUGGCGAGCUUAACCGAAUAGGGGAGGCGUAGCGAAAGCGAGUCUUAAUAGGGCGUCUAGUCGCUGGGAAUAGACCCGAAACCGGGCGAUCUAUCCAUGGGCAGGUUGAAGGUUGGGUAACACUAACUGGAGGACCGAACCGACUACCGUUGAAAAGUUAGCGGAUGACCUGUGGAUCGGAGUGAAAGGCUAAUCAAGCUCGGAGAUAGCUGGUUCUCCUCGAAAGCUAUUUAGGUAGCGCCUCAUGUAUCACUGUAGGGGGUAGAGCACUGUUUCGGCUAGGGGGUCAUCCCGACUUACCAAACCGAURCAAACUCCGAAUACCUACAAGUGCCGAGCAUGGGAGACACACGGCGGGUGCUAACGUCCGUCGUGAAAAGGGAAACAACCCAGACCGUCAGCUAAGGUCCCAAAGUCAUGGUUAAGUGGGAAACGAUGUGGGAAGGCUUAGACAGCUAGGAGGUUGGCUUAGAAGCAGCCACCCUUUAAAGAAAGCGUAAUAGCUCACUAGUCGAGUCGGCCUGCGCGGAAGAUGUAACGGGGCUCAAACCAUGCACCGAAGCUACGGGUAUCAUCUUWUGAUGAUGCGGUAGAGGAGCGUUCUGUAAGCCUGUGAAGGUGAGUUGAGAAGCUUGCUGGAGGUAUCAGAAGUGCGAAUGCUGACAUGAGUAACGACAAUGGGUGUGAAAAACACCCACGCCGAAAGACCAAGGUUUCCUGCGCAACGUUAAUCGACGCAGGGUUAGUCGGUCCCUAAGGCGAGGCUGAAAAGCGUAGUCGAUGGAAAACAGGUUAAUAUUCCUGUACUUCUGGUUAUUGCGAUGGAGGGACGGAGAAGGCUAGGCCAGCCUGGCGUUGGUUGUCCAGGUUUAAGGUGGUAGGCUGAGAUCUUAGGUAAAUCCGGGAUCUYAAGGCCGAGAGCUGAUGACGAGUGUUCUUUAGAACACGAAGUGGUUGAUGCCAUGCUUCCAAGAAAAGCUUCUAAGCUUCAGGUAACCAGGAACCGUACCCCAAACCGACACAGGUGGUUGGGUAGAGAAUACCAAGGCGCUUGAGAGAACUCGGGUGAAGGAACUAGGCAAAAUGGCACCGUAACUUCGGGAGAAGGUGCGCCGGUGAGGGUSAAGCAUUUACUGCGUAAGCCCAYGCCGGUCGAAGAUACCAGGCCGCUGCGACUGUUUAUUAAAAACACAGCACUCUGCAAACACGAAAGUGGACGUAUAGGGUGUGACGCCUGCCCGGUGCCGGAAGGUUAAUUGAUGGGGUUAGCGCAAGCGAAGCUCUUGAUCGAAGCCCCGGUAAACGGCGGCCGUAACUAUAACGGUCCUAAGGUAGCGAAAUUCCUUGUCGGGUAAGUUCCGACCUGCACGAAUGGCGUAACGAUGGCGGCGCUGUCUCCACCCGAGACUCAGUGAAAUUGAAAUCGCUGUGAAGAUGCAGUGUAUCCGCGGCUAGACGGAAAGACCCCGUGAACCUUUACUAUAGCUUUGCACUGGACUUUGAAUUUGCUUGUGUAGGAUAGGUGGGAGGCUUUGAAGCGUGGACGCCAGUCUGCGUGGAGCCAACCUUGAAAUACCACCCUGGCAACUUUGAGGUUCUAACUCAGGUCCGUUAUCCGGAUCGAGGACAGUGUAUGGUGGGUAGUUUGACUGGGGCGGUCUCCUCCUAAAGAGUAACGGAGGAGUACGAAGGUGCGCUCAGACCGGUCGGAAAUCGGUCGUAGAGUAUAAAGGCAAAAGCGCGCUUGACUGCGAGACAGACACGUCGAGCAGGUACGAAAGUAGGUCUUAGUGAUCCGGUGGUUCUGUAUGGAAGGGCCAUCGCUCAACGGAUAAAAGGUACUCCGGGGAUAACAGGCUGAUACCGCCCAAGAGUUCAUAUCGACGGCGGUGUUUGGCACCUCGAUGUCGGCUCAUCACAUCCUGGGGCUGAAGCCGGUCCCAAGGGUAUGGCUGUUCGCCAUUUAAAGUGGUACGCGAGCUGGGUUUAGAACGUCGUGAGACAGUUCGGUCCCUAUCUGCCGUGGACGUUUGAGAUUUGAGAGGGGCUGCUCCUAGUACGAGAGGACCGGAGUGGACGAACCUCUGGUGUUCCGGUUGUCACGCCAGUGGCAUUGCCGGGUAGCUAUGUUCGGAAAAGAUAACCGCUGAAAGCAUCUAAGCGGGAAACUUGCCUCAAGAUGAGAUCUCACUGGAACCUUGAGUUCCCUAAAGGGCCGUCGAAGACUACGACGUUGAUAGGUUGGGUGUGUAAGCGCUGUGAGGCGUUGAGCUAACCAAUACUAAUUGCCCGUGAGGCUUGACCAUAUAACACCCAAGCAAUU